rfam:Anolis carolinensis chromosome 2, whole genome shotgun sequence.
UUUGCAUUCAUGAAAACAGAAGCCGAAACUAUGACCUAGGGGCUUUUGUUUGAUAUAUUGCAGC